GUGACAUCCCCAAAAUCCGGGGGUCUGGAUUUGGUGCCACUAAAAGAAAAUCAUUUGAAAACCUGUAUUUGCGGAAAAAGGUAAAAACAGAUAUUUGAAAAUCUGAACAUUUAAAAGAGAUUUAAAUCAAAACCACUUUGACCCCCUAAAACAGGAUCGCUAAUAGGUUACAACACUGAAAUCAGAAACCAAAACUUCUUAUCUUAUUACAACUUAAACUACAUUAUCAAUUAAACCUCGAUAAGAAGAAUAACUGAUAACCAAAUAAAUAAAUCUAUUUACAACUGAACUGAAAUAGAACAAUUCUAAC
rnacentral:lncRNA from 1 species